rnacentral:pre_miRNA from 1 species
AAUAGAUGACGCCGCUGACUUUUUCUCAUAUUUUGACCAUUCGUCUUAUUCAAAAAAUUUACGUAAUUAUAAUUUAUUUUAUUAUGAGUUAUUUUAUCAUUCAUAGUACUUUAAAUGUGAUUUAUUUCUUAUAUAUUUGUAUAAAAUUUUUGAAUAAGACGAAUGGUUAAACAUGUGAGAAAAAGUCAACGGCGUCAUCUAUU